rnacentral:rRNA from 1 species
UACGUAGGGUGCAAGCGUUGUCCGGAAUUAUUGGGCGUAAAGAGCUCGUAGGCGGUUUGUCGCGUCUGCUGUGAAAAUCCAGGGCUUAACCCUGGACCUGCAGUGGGUACGGGCAGACUGGAGUGCGGUAGGGGAGAUCGGAAUUCCUGGUGUAGCGGUGAAAUGCGCAGAUAUCAGGAGGAACACCGGUGGCGAAGGCGGAUCUCUGGGCCUGCACUGACGCUCAUGCACGAAAGCGUGGGGAGCAAACAGG